rnacentral:rRNA from 1 species
AUCAAUAAGCGGAGGAAAAGAAACUAACAAGGAUUCCCCUAGUAACGGCGAGUGAAGCGGGAUGAGCUCAAAUUUAAAAUCUGGCUGGUUUACUAGUCCGAAUUGUAGUUUAAAGAAGCGUUUUCGGUGGCAGUCUCGGUAUAAAUCCUUUGGAAUAGGGUAUCAUAGAGGGUGAGAAUCCCGUCUUUGACUGAGAAUUUGCUACUAUGUGAUACGUUUUCAAAGAGUCGAGUUGUUUGGGAAUGCAGCUCAAAAUGGGUGGUAAAUUUCAUCUAAAGCUAAAUAUUGGCGAGAGACCGAUAGCGAACAAGUACCGUGAGGGAAAGAUGAAAAGAACUUUGAAAAGAGAGUUAAACAGUGCGUGAAAUUGUUGAAAGGGAAACGCUUGAAACCAGUCAUGUAGUUGGAAAAUCAGUGUUCAAUUGGGGGGAAUGGGGGAGGUGUGGACCGCAAGGCUGCUCUUUUCUAUAUCUCUUUUGUUGGGCAUGCACUUUUUCUUCCGCAGGUCAACAUCAGUUUCUUCUGCUGGACAAAACUCUUGAGAAGGUAGCAGCUUAGGCUGUGUUAUAGCUCUGGAGCGAUACAGUGGAGGGGACUGAGGUUUUCGCAGCAUGUGCUCUCGGGCAAGGCCAAUUGGGUGCUAUGGGAUCGUUCGGGGUACAAUACAUGUAUUUUGCUUCGUGUCUUUUCUAUACUCGUUCAAUUGAGCUCUUCCAUGCU